UCUCCGCUUGCGCGGGCAGUCUUUUUAGAGUCCCCACCAUUACGUGCUGGCAACUAAAAAUAAGGGUUGCGCUCGUUGCGGGACUUAACCCAACACCUCACGGCACGAGCUGACGACAGCCAUGCAGCACCUGUACAGGCGUCCCGAAGGAGGGCCCCUGUUUCCAGGGGCUUUCCCCUGCAUGUCAAGCCCAGGUAAGGUUCUUCGCGUUGCGUCGAAUUAAACCACAUGCUCCACCGCUUGUGCGGGCCCCCGUCAAUUCCUUUGAGUUUCAGCCUUGCGGCCGUACUCCCCAGGCGGGGCACUUAAUGCGUUAGCGCCGGCACCCAGGGGGUCGCUCCCCCAGGCACCUAGUGCCCAUCGUUUACGGCGUGGACUAC
rnacentral:misc_RNA from 1 species